GGAAAGGGAGAGCAGCAGCGGACGGGUGAGUAAAGCACAGGGACUUGUCCCGAAGAGGGGGACAACUGUGGGAAACCACAGCUAAUACCCCAUAAGCCGAGAGGUGAAAGCAGUAAUGCGCUUUAGGAGAGACUUGUGUCCUAUCAGGUAGUUGGUGAGGUAACGGCUCACCAAGCCGAAGACGGGUAGCCGGACUGAGAGGUUGUACGGCCACAUUGGAACUGAGAGACGGUCCAGACUCCUACGGGAGGCAGCAGUGGGGAAUAUUGGGCAAUGGGGGCAACCCUGACCCAGCGACGCCGCGUGAGGGAAGACAGCCUUCGGGUUGUAAACCUCUGUUGCAGGGGAAGAAGAAAGUGACGGUACCCUGCGAGGAAGCUCCGGCAAGCUACGUGCCAGCCGCCGC
rnacentral:rRNA from 1 species